rnacentral:lncRNA from 1 species
CCAAGGAAGAUUGGGUGGGUGGGGAAGGGGGGCAUAAAAAGGGAUGAAGGAGGAAAAGCAGAGAGACUCGAGGACGUGGGUGGUGGAGUUGCACGAGUGCAGAGCGACCGACAAGCGCAGACUGAGCCAUGCCUGAACCCAAGAAGCCAGCUAAGAAAGAGAAAGAGGCGGCGCCUCCUCCUGAGUCGGAGGGUGAGUUUGUGAUCCUCUGUCUGUCCAGAUGUCCCGAUGUGCUUCCUCCGCGCUGACCUGAGCCGUGCGUUUUAUUCUCGUUC